UGGGGAAUUUUGGACAAUGGGCGCAAGCCUGAUCCAGCCAUACCGCGUGAGUGAAGAAGGCCUUCGGGUUGUAAAGCUCUUUCAGACGGAAAGAAACGGUUACGGCUAAUACCCGUGACUAAUGACGGUACCGUAAGAAGAAGCACCGGCUAACUACGUGCCAGCAGCCGCGGUAAUACGUAGGGUGCGAGCGUUAAUCGGAAUUACUGGGCGUAAAGCGUGCGCAGGCGGUUUGGUAAGACAGAUGUGAAAUCCCCGGGCUUAACCUGGGAACUGCAUUUGUGACUGCCAGGCUAGGGUGUAGCAGAGGGGGGUAGAAUUCCACGUGUAGCAGUGAAAUGCGUAGAUAUGUGGAGGAAUACCGAUGGCGAAGGCAGCCCCCUGGGCUAACACUGACGCUCAUGCACGAAAGCGUGGGGAGCAAACAGGAUUAGAUACCCCAGUAGUCCCUGAGCGGGCUGGCAAGGCGCAU
rnacentral:rRNA from 1 species